rnacentral:tRNA from 1 species
GCCUUCGUGGUGUAAUGAUCAGCACACUCGGCGCGUAUUCCAGAAGUCCGAGGUUCGAGUCCCGGCGAGGGUA